UCCCAUUUGGUGCAGAGGUUUAGCAUAUCGCGCUUUCACCGCGGGGACACGAGUUCGAAUCUCGUAGUGGGAA
rfam:Colletotrichum gloeosporioides Nara gc5 unplaced genomic scaffold scaffold268, whole genome shotgun sequence.